GCUGGGCAUUGUGGCACAUGCCUGUAAUCCCAGCGGCUUGGGAGGCUGAGGCAGGAAGGUCUUGAGUUCAAAGCCAGCUUAAGCACUUAGAAAGGCCCUAAGCAACUUAGCAAGACCCUGUCUCUA
rnacentral:sRNA from 1 species